UAAUGUAUCGGAACGUGCCCAGUCGUGGGGGAUAACUGCUCGAAAGAGCAGCUAAUACCGCAUACGACCUGAGGGUGAAAGCGGGGGAGUCGCAAGACCUCGCGCGAUUGGAGCGGCCGAUAUCAGAUUAGGUAGUUGGUGAGGUAAAGGCUCACCAAGCCGACGAUCUGUAGCUGGUCUGAGAGGACGACCAGCCACACUGGGACUGAGACACGGCCCAG
rnacentral:rRNA from 1 species